AGAAUCAGCAGGGAAAGAAGACCCUAUUGAGCUUAACUCUAGUCCGACUUUGUGAAAUGACUUCAGAGGUGUAGGAUAAGUGGAAGCCAAAAGGCGAAAGUAAAAUACCACCACUUUUAACAUUAUUUUACUUAUUUCGUAAAUUGGAGGUGGGGCACUACCCCUCUUUUUGGACCCAAGGCUCACUUCGCGGGCUAAUUCGAGCUAAAGACAUCGUCGAUGAGGAGUUUCGCUGAGGCGACACAUUUGUCAAAAGAUAAUGCAGGUGUCCUAAGAUGAGUUCAACGAGAACAAAAAUUUCGUGUGGAACAAAAGAGUAAAAGCUCGUUUGAUUCUAAUUUAUAGUACAAAUACAAACCGUGAAAGUGUGGCCUAAUGAUCCUUCAGACCUUUGAAAUUUGAAGCUAGAGGUGUCAAAAAAGUUACCACAGGGAUAACUAGUUUGUGGCAGCCAAGCAUUCAUAACAACGUUGCUUUUUUAUACUUCGAUGUCGACUCUUCCUAUCAUUGUGAAGCAAAAUUCACGAAGUGUCGGAUUGUUCACCCACCAAUAGGAAACGUGAGAUGGAUUAUGACUAAAUGUCGACAAGCUAGUUUUAUCCUAUUGAUUAUAGUGUCACGGUAGUAAUUCAACCUAGUACGAGAGAAACCAUUGAUUCACACAAUUUGUCAUCGCGCUUGGAUGAAAAGCCAGUGGCGUGAAGCUACCAUGCACUGGAUUAUGACUGAAUGACUCUAAGUUGGAAUUUGGGCUAGAAGUGAUGCACGCAUCCACCAUUCACUUGUCGACUCGCGGUAGGGCCCUCAUGGCCCCAGGGGCACGUGUCGUUGGCAAAGCCC
rnacentral:rRNA from 1 species